AACGAACGCUGGCGGCAUGCCUAACACAUGCAAGUCGAACGAGAGCUUCGGGUCUAGUGGCGCACGGGUGCGUAACGCGUGGGAACCUGCCCUUAGGUUCGGAAUAACUCCCCGACAGGGGUGCUAAUACCGGAUAAUGUCUUCGGACAAAUGAUUUAUCGCCUUUGGAUGGGCCCGCGUUGGAUUAGCUAGUUGGUAGGGUAAAAGCCUACCUAGGCGACGAUCCAUAGCUGGUCUGAGAGGAUGAUCAGCCACACUGGGACUGAGACACGGCCCAGACUCCUACGGGAGGCAGCAGUGGGGAAUAUUGGACAAUGGGCGAAAGCCUGAUCCAGCAAUGCCGCGUGAGUGAUGAAGGCCUUAGGGUUGUAAAGCUCUUUUACCCGGGAUGAUAAUGACAGUACCUGGAGAAUAAGCUCCGGCUAACUCCGUG
rnacentral:rRNA from 1 species